AAGGAAGCAUGCACUGAGCGCUCGGUCGCUGCCAGAGCUGUAACCACACAGGGUUACCGUAGCAGCGACCAUCAGCUUCAUCUGAUAAAAAUAAGCAAGGAAGUCAAGUGUAUGAGAGGGAGAGGAUGUCAGAAGCCAAGCAUGAAAAUGUCACUGCAGCUCCGCUUUCAUUUUCAGUGCUUCCUUCUUUAUUCUGCCCUCAGCCAGACCAGGAGCCCAGCUGUUGCCAGCGCUGCCAAGCCUGCCGUGGAUGCUGCCUGCGGGGUGAGGACUGACCCCUGCUGCCCCCGGAGCUGCAGCCACACUUCCCUGCUUAAAGCCCGGCUUGUGGCCAGGUGACAACACCACCGGGUCCCCCGGCGUGGAGGGACUUGCCAUCAGUGACUUUCCAUACCUGUCUCUCCCAACAAGCCUGAGAUAUUUGUGUACAGGGAAGGCUCCUGGUGUGAUGCAGCAGCAGUCACUUUUGAGGAAACCUGAUCAGAAGAAAUUUCCAGAGCCACUGCUGUAAGAAGAAAUGAUUUAUUUGGCUGAGUUUUACCCAGAGAGCCAGAAAAAGCUCCAGACCCUGGAAGAAAGGACCCCAAACACUUCAGACCCUGUGAUGCCACCUCCCACCCUGGCACUGGGCUAGUCAUGCUAAGCUGCCUCCAUCGUAAUUAAAAUCUGGGUGUUUAUUCUGAGGUAGUUGUUAGGUCUCCUGCUGUACUACAUGGAAGGAAGUAAACAUCUCCAGAAGGUGAAUCAUUUUAACAGCCUAUCUGGAAAGAAUGUCCUCAGGCCAGCAAGAGGAUGGAGAUAACCAUGGAGUUGAUUAGAGGGGUGGAGCAGCUCUCCUAAGAGGAAAGGCUGAGAGAAUUGGGACUGUUUAGCCUGGAAAAGAGAAGGCUUUGGGGUAACCUAAUUGCAGCCUUCCAGUACCUGAAGGGAGCCUACUACAAGAAAAAUGGAGAGGAACUAUUUAGGAGGGCCUGUAGUGACAGGACAGGGGGAAUGGCUUCAAACUCAAAGAGAGAGUAGGUUUAAAUUAGAUUUUAGGAGGAAUUCUUUACUGUGAGGGUGGUGAGGCACUGGCACAGGUUGCCCAGAGAAGCUGUGGAUUAUCCAUUCCUGGAAGUGUUCAAGGCCAGGCUGGAUGGGGCCCUGAGCAACUGCUUUGGUGGAAGGCAUCCUUGUCCAUGGCAGGGGGCUGGAACUAGAUGAUCUUUAGGGUCCCCUGCAAAUCCAAACCCAAACCAUUCAAUGUUUUUGCUUGCCCAGCUUUCAAGCAGCUGAAUCCAGAUGAGCUGAACCUCACUCUUAGUUUAUUUUGUACUUUCACCUUGUUGGGUUUGCCCCUUCACAUGUCAAUGCCCCCAGUUCUGUAGUGCAAAAAGAUUAAUGCAUCCAUGGCCAGCCAUUCUGUGUGAGCCCAGUGGACUGAAUCUGCUUAAAAAUUCACAUUUCUUAAAAAAUAACCCCGAACCAGCAGGACAUCAGUCACAUGAAGUGACACAACUGGUGAAAAAACCCCCAAUGGCGAAUGGGAAGAAUGAGGAACACACAGGCAGGACUGCAAUGAAGACCAUGGAGGUAGAAGGAGAGGUGUCAGGGACAAACCACAUGCAGCUAGUUCACAGACUCUUAAUGACGUUCCUCCCACCUGAGCUGAGGAAAACAGACCAAGGAGGUUAAAUAGACUCCCUGCCUUUUGUCUGCAGCCCAGCUGUAGGGCCUGAUCCUGUUUGCUCCCUUGCUCCCACAGCAAAAACCUCUGGGUUGUACAUGGAUCUUGCACAGUACCCCAUCUUUCUGUGUGUGUCAGAGAUUCAUGCAGCAAAUGGCAGACAAGCACAAUCUACUCGCCAGGAAUCACCUCAGUGUCUCAGGAAAAGUUCGUAUUUCCACUCCAAUUUUUCAUAUUAAAAUGUUGAGAACUUAAGUAUUUCUCUUGGGUGUUUUUCUGUCCCCAC